GUUGGGAAUCUUGGACAAUGGGGGAAACCCUGAUCCAGCCAUGCCGCGUGAGUGAUGAUGGCCUUCGGGUUGUAAAACUCUUUCGACGGGGACGAUAAUGACGGUACCCGUAGAAGAAGCUCCGGCUAACUUCGUGCCAGCAGCCGCGGUAAUACGAAGGGGGCUAGCGUUGUUCGGAAUUACUGGGCGUAAAGCGCGCGCAGGCGGCUAUCCAAGUCAGUGGUGAAAGCCCGGAGCUCAACUCCGGAACUGCCAUUGAAACUGUUUAGCUUGAGGACGAGAGAGGUGAGUGGAAUUCCCAGUGUAGAGGUGAAAUUCGUAGAUAUUGGGAAGAACACCGGUGGCGAAGGCGGCUCACUGGCUCGUAUCUGACGCUCAGGCGCGAUAGCGUGGGGAUCAAACAGGAUUAGAAACCCUUGUAGUCC
rnacentral:rRNA from 1 species